CUCCGUUGCCAACAGGCAGCCAAAAAGCCAGCAGGGUUCUUUCAAAGGCUGUCUUUCCAUUAGGACUCCAAUGGCAUUGGCAAUGAAAGGUGAGACAGAAGGGCAUGUAAAAUGGAGCUGAAUGCCACCCUGGUACCAAGUUUAUUAUGCUGAGAACAUACUUGUUGCAAUGCUAAUGGGACAGAAUCCUAUUUCUCUUAUUUAAAAUUUUCCAGCACAAAUGAGGCGGUGCAGUGGGGCUGUUACAUCAUGUAGCUUUCUGAAAAUGCUGGUGGCUUCUCUCCAUUUACACCUCCUCCUCUUGCACAUGGUGAGAGGACGCUUCUGCUUCUUACAAAGUGGUCCCAUUUGCUUGGAAAACAUCAUGGGAUUCAAUCAGGAUUUAUAACAGCCAGAUUUCGUCAGGACUCAAUAAAGACACCAUUACCGUAUUUAACACUGAAGCACCUUUUGGAAAACUCAAGUUGGGAAAUGCUGCAAUUCAGCAACUUGAUGGCAAAGCAAGAGUUACUGUGGAAGUUACUGCUGGACUCAACGGGGGCAGAGAGGAGGGACCCAUAUCCAGUGAAGCCUUCCAAGAGUCUGUCUAAAAGGUAAGUACGAAACAGGCCAGUUAAAGAAGAGGAAGGCACAUCUACACAAAAAGCACAGAGCCAUAAAGGGGCUCAGGGGGUUUAAGGAACAGUCUG
rnacentral:lncRNA from 1 species